CUCCGAAGCUCUCAAGCAAAUCCCGAAGGAUCAAGAAAGCCCUUUUCGUUCUUCAUCAAACCCUCUUUCAAGAUCAAGCCCCGACGGCCCUUGAAGAAAGUGUUCUUCGUUCUUCGUUCUUCGUUCAUCAUUCUUCCAAGAUCAAGCCCCGACGGCCCCUUGGAUCAACAAUCAUCCACCUUCAAGAUCAAGCCCCGACGGCCCUUGAAGAAAGUGUUCUUCGUUCUUCGUUCUUCGUUCAUCAUUCUUCCAAGAUCAAGCCCCGACGGCCCCUUGGAUCAACAAUCAUCCACCUUCAAGAUCAAGCCCCGACGGCCCUUGAAGAAAGUGUUCUUCGUUCUUCGUUCAUCGUUCUUCUAAGAUCAAGCCCUGACGGCCCCUUGGAUCAACAACAUCAACAAAUCCACACGUCCAACCGUUCUUCAAGAUCAAGCCCAAAAGCC
rnacentral:lncRNA from 1 species